rnacentral:rRNA from 1 species
AAUUGGAGGGCAAGUCUGGUGCCAGCAGCCGCGGUAAUUCCAGCUCCAAUAGCGUAUAUUAAAGUUGUUGCAGUUAAAAAGCUCGUAGUUGAAUUUCGGGAUCAAUAUUUCGGUCAUGCCGUUGGUAUGCACUGUUAUCAUUGAUUUCUCACCUUCUAAAGAACCGUAAUGCCAUUAAUUUGGUGUUACGGGGAAUUAGGACUGUUACCUUGAAAAAAUUAGAGUGUUUAAAGCAGGCUCACGCUUGAAUACAUUAGCAUGGAAUAAUGAAAUAGGACAUCCGAUUCUAUUUUGUUGGUCUCUAGGAUCGAUGUAAUGAUUAAUAGGGAUAGUUGGGGGCAUUAGUAUUCAAUUGUCAGAGGUGAAAUUCUUGGAUUUAUUGAAGACUAACUACUGCGAAAGCAUUUGCCAAGGAUGUUUUCAUUAAUCAAGAACGAAAGUUAGGGGAUCGAAGACGAUCAGAUACCGUCGUAGUCUUAACCAUAAACUAUGCCGACUAGGGAUCGGAUGAUGUUAAUUUUUUAAUGACUCAUUCGGCGCCUUACGGGAAACCAAAGUGU